GGGAAAAAGGUUUCCAAAAGUUCAGACCUGGUGUGCAUGCCUGUAAUUCCAGCACUCCAAAGACGGAGGGAAGAGGAUUCCAAGUUUGAGACCAACCUGGACUGCACAAUCUCACUGGGGCCACUGCAGCAACCAACUAACACUAGUGAUAACCAGAUGGUGAAAGGCAAGCACAAGAACCCUACCAACAGAAACCAAGGCUACUUGGCAACAUCAGAACCCAGUUCUCCCACCACAGCAAGUCUCAGAUAUCCCCAACACACCGGAAAAGCAAGAGUUGGAUUUAAAAUCAUAUCUCAUGAUGCUGAUAGAGGGCUUCAAGAAGGACUUAAAUAACUCCCUUAAAGAAACACAGGAGAACAUGGGUCAAAUAGGUAAAAGCCCUUAAAAAGGAAACACAAAAAUCCCUUAAAGAAUUACAGGAAAACACAAACAAGGGAAGGAACUGAACAAAACCAUCCAGGAUCUAAAAAUGGAAGUAGAAACAAUGAAGAAACCACAAAGGGAGACAACUCUGGAGAUAGAAAACCUUGGAAAGAAAUCAGGACUCACAGAUGCCUAGUCUCGUGCUGACUUGACACAAGCUAGAGUCUUCUUGGAAGAAGAAACUUCAACUGAGAACCUGAUCCCACUAGACUGACUAAUGGGCAAGCCUACGGUACAUUUUCUUGAUUCAUGGUUGCUGUGGGAGGACCUAGACCACUGUGGGUGGUGCUACCCCCUACGUAGGAAGUCCGCAUGACAAGAGAAAGCAGGCUGAGCGAACUGAGGAGCAAGCCGGUACACAGCAGCCCUCCGCGGCCUCCGCGUCAGCCCUGGCUCCAGGUUCCUGCUUUGAAUUUAUGUCUGACUUCCCGGGAUGCCACAUUACAAACAACCACAACCUUGGAGCCAUGCUGUUCCUACCCCAGGUUCAGAGAUGGUGGAGUUCAGAUCAGACAGAGAAGACAUCUGGGCCAGCUAUCGCUCCUCGGUGUCUUUCCCCAGGACCUCCCACCUGCUUAUGAGCCAAGCUCCACCUAGGAGUGAGUCCUGGGGGAGAAUCAGAAGGGCUGUCGUGAGCUGAGCAGAGGGCGGUCUGAAGCCAUCACUCCCCAUCCGGGUCUUGCUGCGCCUCCCAGACAGCAUGCUUCUAACACACACAGACACUACAAUCAUAAGAGGGAA